rnacentral:rRNA from 1 species
AACGGAGGAAACUCUGAUGCAGCGAUGCCGCGUGAGUGAAGAAGGCCUUUGGGUUGUAAAGCUCUUUCGUCGGGGAAGAAAAUGACUGUACCCGAAUAAGAAGGUCCGGCUAACUUCGUGCCAGCAGCCGCGGUAAUACGAAGGGACCUAGCGUAGUUCGGAAUUACUGGGCUUAAAGAGUUCGUAGGUGGUUGAAAAAGUUAGUGGUGAAAUCCCAGAGCUUAACUCUGGAACUGCCAUUAAAACUUUUCAGCUAGAGUAUGAUAGAGGAAGUAGAAUUUCUAGUGUAGAGGUGAAAUUCGUAGAUAUUAGAAAGAAUACCAAUUGCGAAGGCAGCUUUCUGGAUCAUUACUGACACUGAGGAACGAAAGCAUGGGUAGUGAAGAGGAUU